GUGCCUCAGAGAAUUUCGAGUCCGCAUCAUCCACUUGAGAAUCUUGUUCAUGUUCUUGCUCUUCUUGAUCAAUUGCUAGUAACUCAUCAAGUUCAUUAUCCACGCCAUCGUUAUCAUUGCCAUUUUCAGUGUCAAGAUCAGAGGCAAUUGCAAUGGUGGUGGUGGUGAAGAAUGAGAUGAGUAGAAGGAGAGAGAGGGUGAAAAGGAUGAAUCUUGAAGUGGGUUUUGCGGGAAACAUGGAAACCGAGUGAUUUUGAUUUCUGGGUACUUGAGAAUAUGCAGUGAGAUUCAAUAAGAGAUCUGGACUUGUGAGGGUUUUGCGUGAAAAGAUUUUUAACUAAAACAAUGCGAAAUGAAGAUGCAAGGGGAGCUGUCGACAGUCAAAGAAACUACUAAAGUUAUGGACAUGUACCCCUUUGGUCCUCUUUUUUGUUCUUGUUUUAUUUAUAUUUAUUUUUUUUCCAAAAGAAAUACUAAUUCCAAUGAUCCAAAACUUUCGCUUUUUUUUUUUUUUUUUUUUUUUUUGGAGUGUCAAGAUCAGAGGCAAUUGCAAUGGUGGUGGUGGUGAAGAAUGAGAUGAGUAGAAGGAGAGAGAGGGUGAAAAGGAUGAAUCUUGAAGUGGGUUUUGCGGGAAACAUGGAAACCGAGUGAUUUUGAUUUCUGGGUACUUGAGAAUAUGCAGUGAGAUUCAAUAAGAGAUCUGGACUUGUGAGGGUUUUGCGUGAAAAGAUUUUUAACUAAAACAAUGCGAAAUGAAGAUGCAAGGGGAGCUGUCGACAGUCAAAGAAACUACUAAAGUUAUGGACAUGCACCCCUUUGGUCCUCUUUUUUGUUCUUGUUUUAUUUAUA
rnacentral:lncRNA from 1 species